GUAAUUGGGAGCACUUUUUUUUAAAUUAAAACAGAACACUUUAAUAAUUAACCCCCAACGUGUUUGUAUGCUGUAAAAGAUUAAGUAUGGUACUUUAGUUUAUUUGGAAACCAAAUACAUGUCCAAACAUUAAAAGGCACAUUUAAAUAACCAACGGUUACACAUAUAAUCAUGUUUGCUGUAUCAAUAAUCAGUUUCUCUAUAUGUGUGUGUCUGUCAGGGAGUGUGUCUGUGAGUGAGUGUGUCUGUCAGGGAGUGUUUCUGUCAGUGGGUGUGUUUGUCAGUGUGUGUGUGUGUGUGUGUGUAUGUGUGUCUAUCAGAAAGUGAGUGUGUGUGUGUCUGUCAGUGAGUGUGUG